rnacentral:piRNA from 1 species
UUACAAAGAAUACAUAGAAUUUUACAUUU